GUGGGGUGGCGUGAGAGUCGGUAUACACCAGCAGCAGCAGCUGGGGGGCACUGACUUAUCCAGCUAAAGGCCGUAUGAACGCUUCCAUCGAACCUUGAACCCAGAGUGUGUGCGCUGCUCUCUGAGAGUGGAAGAAAAGUUUGUUUGAAAGCUACGAGCACCAAACUCGGGAGUGUGUGUGAUAAGGACACGGAAACAUUAAACUUUAAGAGCCAGGUGAUAAGGACACAAGAGAGAGAAAGAGAGAAACAUUCAACGUUUACAUGGCUCCUGAAUAUAUCUCGUAAGAGAUAUAUUCAGAAAAUCUUCAUAUGAUUUUACAGUGUGGUAAAUUUGUAAUGUGGUUCUAGAAAUACUGAAUCACUGUAGACGUGUACGUAUGGUAAAUAACGCAGAUAUAAUGUAGAAUAUUCCAACAAAAUCUUAGUGAAUUAUUUCCAUAUUUAGUCUUUGUCAAAGCUGUAGGUGCCACAACAGGUUGGUGUCGUAUAUAAUUUAUGCCCUACGUGAGUGGUUGUAUUGCGGGGUUAUGUCAUUACUGCUCUGCAUCAUAAAAGGCAAGUUGACAUACCCGGAACAAGAGAAACAUCAACGGCACCUCUCUCUCCCUCCCUCCCUCCCUCCUGUUUCAGCUCAGUCCUUGACAUGUGGAGACAGAUAGAAGACAAAGUGUGUGUGCGUCGUGAAGGAAACUCAGGCAGCAGGAGGCGGGGUAGAGACGAGGGAGAGGUGAGAGCAUGUGGUUCACGUGUGGUGGGUGUGUGGGUGAUGCCAGGGAGGCCGUGAGGCGGUGAGCCUACCUCUUGCCCACCGCCUUCACAUCUCUGAUCCCAGUCAUGCUAGGCUCACUCCGAAGGAGGAAGAGGGCCAAGAAGGAGGCGGCGAAGGAGGGGUCUCCUGCUCGCUCCUUCACGGAUCCCGCCCGCCAGAUCUUUCAUGAGCUGCGUGCGGCGUCCCCAGUGGGUGUCCUUCGGGGGACGUCUGCUUCAGGGGGUGUCCUCCGAGGGGCGUCAUGCUCCCUCCAGGGGUCCCCGCGCUCCCCCCGCCGCAAUUCACCCGGGGGCACAGCCCCCCCUUCUCUCCAGCCGAGUCCCUCCAUCAGCCGUCGUGACGGGAAUCGUCAGGACGCCGGGGGCGGCGCCCCCGGCCACCCAGGCCACCGACCCAAUGACGAGUGCCCAGGGGCAUCGCCCAGGGCAUCUCCGGCCCUCAGGAGGAGGUCGGGGUUGAGUGGCAGCGAGGAUAGGGGCGCCGCCCCCCGGGACGCUGCGGGCUUCAGUCAUGCAGAGACGCAACACCUCCCGAACAACAAUGAGGCGCUGGCGUCACAGAAACAACCCACUAUAAGCAGCAGGAACGUGAGUACCACUGUAUAUGUAUUGUAUUUGUGUGUGUGUGUGUGUGUGUUGUGUGUUGUGUGUUGUGUGUGUGUUGUGUGUUGUCUGUGUGUUGUGUGUGCCUGUGUGUGUGCUCACCUAUAUAUAGUUGCAGGGGUCGAGUAAAUGCAUAGUCAUGAAAAUAUGGAAGCGGCAGAAAAGUCUAGUGAAUACAAACUCGGUGGAUAAAAGCUUUAAGCUCGCUCAGAGAAAGACCUCGGGGUGAGCAUAGCACCUAGCUUAUCACCUUAAGCACACCUGUUAACCAUGAACAUCAGCCACGCGUCUUGCUAAGCUAAGUUUAGCUUUCAGGACUUUCAACAAAGUCAUAUAUAUCAGGAUCAUCGUUGAGUCUGCAGCACCAGUGUGGAGCCCUCAUCAGGGAGGUGACUACAGGAACUAGAUCUAAUGACACAAGAGGACACGACAGCGACUUUAAGUUAUCAGAGGUAUAAACAGGAUGGAUAGAUCACAGGAGUGGACUGCUCGGGAGGGACGAAACAGGUACACAAGGGCACAGUUGGGGACACAUGAGUCACAGGGACGUCAGGAAGUGUGUCAUCCAUCUCAGAAUGGUCAGGAAGUGGAAUAACCAGGACUAUACCUGUUAGGUACAUGUGACUGGUUUCACGAGUUUUACGCUCGCAGCCCGGGCUAGCACCAGGACUUUCGUUGACUCUUCAACUAGGCUGCUGUUAUUGGUGGACUGCUGGCCUGCAUAGCAGUGACAGUCUGGUUGAUUUGGCACCUAACAGAGGUAGCGGUCCAGUUUCCUCUUGAAAACAGGCACUGUACAUAGCUUGGCAUACUAAAUACUACUAGCAUCGACCAGUAGCACUAGCACUCAUUCCUUGGAGAAAGAACAGUCAUUCAGAAAUGUUGAGAUAGGCCUGAUCAUGGACCGGAUCUCGGGGGCGUUGACCCCCGAAACACCUUCCAGGUAGGUAACUCCUCUGCACAAGAAAGCAAUAGAGCUCUGGCAAAGCAAUUGUAGACCAGUAGCACUAAUAUCACACAUUAAAUUUCUUGAGAAGUUGAUAAGACGCCAAAUUAAAACAAAAUAUAGAAACAAUGACCUGCAUAACCCAGGUCAAUAUGAAUAGAAAGUCAAAAAUACCGUGACUGGAACAAAACGCAAAUUACCCGCACAUAAGAGAAUGAAACUUGUGACGACGUUGCGGUCCGUCAUUAGUUUCAUUCUCCUGUGUGUGGGUUGUGUGUAUGUGCAAGUCAGCAAGGAUAUAGAGUGGGAAGAUCGUACUUGUAACAACUGCUUGACCAUUAUCACAAAAUUACGGAGGCUCUGGAAGAAAACCAGAACGAAGAUGUGGUUUACACGGUCUUCACUAAGACGUUUGACAAAUUCUCUCAUGGAGUGAGAGGGCAUUAAAGAUAGCCAGUACAUAUAAUAGAAGAGUGGGACAGAUUAUCCUUAAUUUGCUAACGAAUGAAACACAACAUGUAGUCUUAGCAAAGGUAAAAGUUCAAUGCCCAAAGGCACGGUCCUGGCAACUUUACUGUUUCUCAUCCUCAUAGCAGAUAGGUAAAUACAUCAGUCACGGCUUCGCAUCAUCCUUUUCGAAUGAUAUCAAAAUAAACAUGAAAGUUGACUCGGUAAAUGACACGGACAAAUUGCAAGCAGAUGUCAACAAGUGGACACUAAAAAAUUACACGAUGUUAACUGGUGAAGAAUUCCGACUGCUCAGGUAUGGAAAGAAAUAAAAAAAAAUCUCAGAAGGAACAGUGGAUACAAAACACAGGAGGACCAUCUCAGAACGGAAGAUGUGUAAAAGACUCAUUAUAAUAAUGUCAGCUGACCUAUCACUUGAGUACAAUAAGGCCAAUGCCAGGAAGGCCAGACAAAAUACUAGGCGGAUAAUGAGAAUUUUCAGAGGGAAAUAAUAGCAAUGGUAACACUAUUCAAAUCACUUAUGGUCCCUCGUUUAUAAUAUUGUUCGAUGUUGAGGUCUCCGUUCAAGGCAAGAGAGAGAUAUAUCAGCGAGCAGUAAUUGCCCUUAUAGCCAAUACAUCAUUUAAACUACUGGAAAUGCCUCAGAGAACAGGGAAUGUGAACGUACUCUCUGGAGGGAAGUUGAGAGAUGUCUGAUAAUAUCUACAUGGAAG